GAACUUUUCGAGAAAAGACUGUUUUUGUUCACAGAGUGGAAAAUGCAACACCUGCUCUGGUGGCAAGUGCUCCCCCAUGGGAUACAAGGCAACCAAAAACCCGCACGCCACCAACUCGCACCAGAUCAAAUACUACACCACCACCGCCGCGGCUGCUCCUUUCUGUGAAUAUCACAUGGACGUCGCCGUAACAGUUGCAAGAUCUUCAGCAACCCAGCAUGAGAAAGGAAAUUUCUUCCUCAAAGUUGCCGGCGAAAAUAUGACCACGCCCUUUAUCCAGUUAAAUGAGAA